rnacentral:sRNA from 1 species
GCUGGGCGUGGUGGCGCACGCCUGUAGUUCCAGCUACUUGGGAGGCUGAGGUGGGAGAAUCACUUGAACCCAUGAGGCGGGGGUUGCUGUGAGCCGAGAUCACGCCACUGCACUCCAGCCUGGGUGACAAGAGUGAGAUUCCAUCUCAA